UCUUGCUAUGUAUUAAAGAGAGUUUUUUAAUUUGUGUAUUUCAUUAAAAUUAAAUGCAGCACAUGUACUCUUAGAGAAAUUCAAUAAUAAACGAAGUGAAUUGAAAUAUCUUAGUAACUUCAGGAAAAGAAAUCAAACGAGAUUCUAUGAUUAAUGUGAAUGAAAGUAGAACAGCCUAUAAAGUAUCAGAAUAUAUAUAUUUAAAUAUUUUAUAUUUAAAGAGAUAUAAGUAAAUAUAUUGUAAAAAAAAUUAUUAGCAUUACUAGGACAAUGACAUGUUUGCUUCUUUAUUUUUUUUUUUUACUCCGUAUUGGUGAUAAAUGAAAAAAAAAAGCUAAGCAAAACAAAGCUCUAACCACUGAUAUAUUAAAUAAGUAAAACGGGCAAUAACCUGUUUGAAUAUAAGGGGAACCUUCCUCUAAGGCUAAAUAUAAUACAUAAGCGAUAGCGUAAAGUACUGUGAAGGAAAGG
rnacentral:ncRNA from 1 species